CUACUGAGAAACGACGACGUUUUUAUUUAGGGAACUGUGUUUGACCGGUUAUGGAGGGAAGUCAAACGGAUUUCAGUGCUGAUGCGACGACGUUUGGUUGUUGAGCACGUGUUGGUUUUUGCUAGUUUGAACUUCUGGUCGAGGACUUGAGGGGUGGUGUUGCGACGUACAUUCGCUGGUUACGUGUCAAAUUUAUAGUAGGAGAUGUUAUGUUUAGAUAUAGUAGUAGUAUAUUGUAUUUGGAGGGCAAAAUAGUUUAAUCUCGAGCUAUUUUGAUUUAGUUUCUUGUUAAGAGAUCUUAUCAAAUGCUUAUAAGAGUGUAAUUUGUUAAUUUUAUGGAAGUAUUAACAUUUACUCUAUUAAUUACUAUUUAAUCUUAUAAUGUAUAUUAUUUGGAGGGUUGUAAACUUGUAAUGAACAUUAUGUAGAACUAAGUGGAGUUUAUUGUUUA